ACCUUCCAUCUUCUUCAGAUGUUCCUCAGAUGUCCUUCAGAUGUUUCCUCAAAGGUUGUGCCUUCCAUCUUCUCCUUCAGAUGUUCCUCAGAUGUUCUUCAGAUGUUUCCUUCCAUGUUCUCCUUCAGAUGUUUCUCAGAUGUUUCCUUCCAUGGUGGCUCUCCAUCCUGACCUUCCGUCUUGGAUCCAUGUUCUCACCAAGAUGUUCUUCAGAUCUUUCCU